GACGAACGCUGGCGGCGUGCUUAACACAUGCAAGUCGAGCGGUAAGGCCCUUUCGGGGGUACACGAGCGGGCGAACGGGUGAGUAACACGUGGGGUGACCUGCCCUCAGCUCUGGGAUAAGCCUGGGGAAACCGGGUCUAAUACUGGAUAUGACUCCAUGACGCAUGUUGUGGGGUGGAAAGCCUUGUGCGGCUGAGGAUGGGCCCGCGGCCUAUCAGCUUGUUGGUGGGGNGAUGGCCUACCAAGGCGACGACGGGUAGCCGGCCUGAGAGGGCGACCGGCCACACUGGGACUGAGACACGGCCCAGACUCCUACGGGAGGCAGCAGUGGGGAAUCUUGCGCAAUGGGCGUAAAGCCUGACGCAGCGACGCCGCGUGAGGGAUGACGGCCUGGUGU
rnacentral:rRNA from 1 species